CCCAAUGGCUCUGAGGCCAUGACCCCUAUUCUCUUCUCAUCAGGCUUGGCUGGCCUAUUUAGUACUUGGAUGGGAGACCAUCUGGGAAUGCCAGAUGCUAUUGUUG
rnacentral:rRNA from 1 species